rnacentral:rRNA from 1 species
CCUACGGGAGGCAGCAGUGGGGAAUCUUGCACAAUGGGGGAAACCCUGAUGCAGCAACGCCGCGUGAGUGAUGACGGCUUUCGGGUUGUAAAGCUCUGUCUUCAGGGACGAUAAUGACGGUACCUGAGGAGGACGCCACGGCUAACUACGUGCCAGCAGCCGCGGUGAUACGUAGGUGGCGAGCGGUGUCCGGAUUUACUGGGCGUAAAGGGGGCGUAGGCGGACUUUUAAGUGAGAUGUGAAAUACUCGGGCUCAACUUGAGUGCUGCAUUGGAAACUGGAAGUCUAGAGUGCAGGAGAGGAGAGUGGAAUUCCUAGUGUAGCGGUGAAAUGCGUAGAGAUUAGGAAGAACACCAGUGGCGAAGGCGAUUCUCUGGACUGUAACUGACGCUGAGGCUCGAAAGCGUGGGGAGCAAACAGGAUUAGAUACCCUUGUAGUC